GCGCCGAUGGUUUAGCGGUAAAAUCCGUCGUUGCCAAGACCCUCUAAGCCUUUUCAGGCAUAGAACCUUCGAAUCGACGGGCCCCCGGUUCGACUCCGGGUCGGCGCA